UCAUAGGUCUAUUUCUGUGUGUAACAUCUGCCGUUUACUCACAAGUAACAUGCAAGUAAGGACAAGGAAACAUAUCGUGAACAUAUUCUGAGGAGAUGGCCAAUACCGAUUACUCAAAUAUUUCAGUCUACCUAAGUCACAGAAGACCUAUGAAUCAUCAUUUCUAGGUCCAAAGUAUACAGCAGAGUUAUAGACACGGACUCCAGUCCUCAGCAGGCCACACUGGUCAUGGCCACAAAAGCUUAGCUUCCUUUGUGGAUGAUGAUAAAGCAAGAUUCUAGGAAGGAAACCAUUACUCUAGAUCCAGUAGAUGAAGCCACGGCAAAUCUCCUAUUUCAGGACAGCCAGCUGUUUCAACUUUUCUGUCAGGGAAUCGUGGCCUCGGCAACCGUAUCUGAUGCACCGAUAGUCUCCAGGCGGCCCACAACAUGGCCAUCUGUGCUGCUGGCAGGGAAGCCAUCCACAGCGUCACUCCUUAGGGAAACCGUAGCAGCCAACAAGCUUGGAGCUGGUGGAGUUUCCAAAGCCCUCUGGAUCCUGUAGUUCUCCGCGCCAGCCUCGCAGCCGCGCUGCAGACCCGGCUCGCUCCCGGUGGCCAGACGGAACUGUCAGGAAGAAAACUGUGAA